AAAUUAUUAUUUAAUUAAUUGAAAUUAAAUAACUGAAAUUUGAAGUAGAAAUUAAAUUAAUUAAUCAUCGCAAUUUUAUUGAAUAUGACAUGUAAUGGGCCAAAAUUGCCCAGCCUAAAUACAAACCCAAAACCCAAAAUGAAACUAACCCAAUUACAUGAGACAGGCCCAAUACCCAUGGCCCAAAAUCUAAAUCUAAUCGGCUAACCUAGGGAAACUUAGGUCACCCACGCCACAAUCCCCACGUCGGCACUCCACGCACGAUCCCCGUGUGCCCCGCUCCAUGCUCGCGCCCGUGCUCCACGCCCCUCGUUCUCCACAACUUCAUGGCCUGCGAGUUGGACAAGGAAACAGCAGAAACUGCUUGUAUAUUGGCUAUAAAGCCUUCGAUUUUUAAUUGUAAAGGGACGGGUUUUUUUUUUCAGAGAAAUAGAACACAGAUUGAAGAAAUCAUUCUCGCAAAUAUACAAAAAUCAAUAAAAGCAGUAGAAUACAUUUCAAAGGUUUAUCACUGUUUUUUUUUCCCAUUUUUAUUUUUUCAUUCAAAUUCGCAUUAUAAAUACGAAAUAUAAGAGUAAGUGGGAGAAGCUCACCGGAGUUGCAUCGCGCUCGCACCACUGGAGGGCCCUGCUUCGUUGGUCGCAAGCGAUUUUCGAAGAAGUUGAAGGCUUGGCAUAAGCCUUUCGACGAGGAGCAGAGGGGAGAGCAAAAGGGGGUUCUCAAAAUUUAGGGUUAUUUUUUAAACAAAGGGUAAAAUGGUUUAAAAAAUGGGUUAAGUAAUUGGAAUAAAACAGCACCGUUUGGUGUUGGACCCACACAAUUUGGCUUAAAGUGGGGGAUUUUCUCAUUGAGUCCUCCCCUUUUGCGCUGAGUUGUAAUUAAAACUUGUUUAGAUUUUCCUUGUUUUUUUAUAUUGUCCCUGGAACUUGCACGCCAUUUCAAUUUAGCCCGCGCCUGGGCACAACAUUUUGGGAUUUGGACCAUUUGCGCUUUCGGUCCCCGCGCACUUGCGCGCAUUGCGCUUUGGCCCUUAUCUCACUUUCCAUCUUUUUUAUUUAUUAAUUGUCUCUUUAGGUUUGCUCUUAUUCCAAUUAAGUUUUAGUUCAUAUCUUAUUUUAUUUUAUUUUAUAUAUAUUAUUUUAAUAUAUACUAUUUUGAAUUAUUUUAUUGAUUUUGCACUGUUCCAGUUUGCCAUUUUAUACUUUUUGUUUUUGUUUUUCUCUCCUAAUUGUUUUAUUUCACAAUUUAUUUAUUUUAAAGUCUUCUUUUAUAUUCUUCUGUGUUCUAACGAUAUUUUAAUGCUAUUGUACAUACAUUUACAUUUUUUUUUAAAUUCUAAAUAUAUAUCAUUGUUCAUACUGUUUUAUGUAAAUAUUGUUAUUUUAAAUGUAUUUAUAUGUAUAUAUAUCUUCUUUCGAAUUUAUUUAUGUAUAUAUUAUUGACAUUAAGUUUUUUUUCAUGUAUAUUAUGUAUUUAGAUAGAUAUAUAUUAUUUUGUAUAUCAUUUUCUUUUUUACAUACAUUAUUCAUUUAGAAAUUUCAUUUAUACAUUUCUUUUAUAUAUAUUAUUAUCUUUAUUUUCUUGGUCUAUUUUAAACUUUCAUGUAGAUUACUUGUUCCAAGUUUUAUGUAUAUUGUUUGCAUAUUGAUAAUCCUAAAUUGCAUUUCCUUUGUAUCAGUCAUUUCUUUAUUUGCUUUAGAAAACUUGUUAUAUAUUAUUUGUGUUAAUUUACUUGAUAUGUCUUUAAGUUCGCUUUUAAUUCAUUAGAUGUUAAUAUUGGUAUAUGUAUAAUAUAUGAUAUGUUGCCGUUGUAUGCGCCCAAAUUCGUUCCUUUCAAAAUUCCAUAUUAUGACUAUUCAUUUGUAUAAUAUUUUAUCCAUGUAUAUAGACUUUGUUUUUCAUAUAUUAUCGCAUUGUGGCUCAAAUUUCAGCAUUUUAAUCGAUAUUGGUCGUCUCAUUUUUAUUCCAAAUAAACCAAAUAAAAAGCAUUUUGAGUCAGUCUUAUAAUAUAUCAAUUUUAAAAAAACUUCUAAAACAAAGGCAAUGUUUGGCUUUUGGAAAUUUGGGAAAUCGUGCCCUAACGUACUGGUUUUCGUUUUUCUGCUUGCCCAAAAUAGUCAAAUAUUCCUUUAAAAUUUCAUUCAUGUUUUCUAAAUUUUAAAAUAAGGUAAUGUUCUAUGUUUGGAAAUUUGAGAAAUCGUGCCCUAACAUGCUAGGUUUCGUUUUUUCGUUGGGCCAAAUAAUUGAAUACCCUUUUCGUUGCGUUUUGGAAGUCAUGAGGUGAUCUCAGUUUUUAGAGGCUUAAAAUAUCGUGUCCUAACGUGCUAGAUGUGAUAUUUUAUUUUUUUGGAACGAGUGAAUCUUAAAAUCCAAUUCGAGUUGAUCACACAUUUUAGAGGAAUCGUAUUUUGGCAAUUUUUCUUUAAGUUUUCAACGAUAAGACAUUAAAUAAUCAAUUGGUACCAAUUUCGGGCAUUACGAGGGUGCUAACCCUUCCUUGUGCGUAACCGACUCCCGAAUCAUUUCUCUCAAUUUUCGUAGACCUAAAAUUAUUGUUUUAAUAAAUUAAAUAUUUUAUUAAAAUGAUCAAUCUCAAGGUGAUCCGAUUACACCUCAAAAAGAUCGGUGGCGACUCCAUAAUUCGUUUUUAAAGUUGAUUUCCAUUUUUUUCAAACUUUUAAAAAUGGUUUCGACAGCUUGGCGACUUCACUAGGGACCAAUAAGAGACUCAAGCCAUAAAAUUGAUUAUUUUUUGUCCUUUUGUCGAAAAUUAAAAGUUUAGUUUUUAAAUACACGAUCCUCAUUGCAUUUCAUUGGUGUUAUGGUUUCCAUCAUUUUAUUCAUGUUUUUGAGUUUUUAUGUCCCCUCACAUUGCAUAUUGCAUGACCGUUGUGGUCACACCUCUUAAGUGGGAGUAAAAAGCUAUGUCCUCGUGAGGUUUUCACCUCCGCAUGGUCAUAGGGAAAUGUAUUCCCCUAAACUAAACUCGAUCCACAUGAGCCUAUAAUGGGUGAAGAUUAAGGAAUCUGCUGGUUCAGGUACCCUGUCUUUAGAACUAAAUCGCAUAUAGCGAGUCUUAAGAGCCUACCCUAGGUAGAGCCACUCCAAAACCUAGUCAUUACCCAAAUAGGUGUUCUAUUUGCUAUUUAUUUCUUCUGUACUAACGUAUUUUGUUUGUUUUGUUUAUGACUGUAUUGUAUUACAUCAUUAUAGAAAGGAGAUGUUGAUUCAUAUUUGAUUGCUAAAUAGAACAGUUUGUCAUAAGAAAAUGAAUUUCUUGAUAAAGUGGAUUAUAAUACGGUUGUCUGAAUAUGGUCCACGUAAACACAACGGAAGAAGGUUGAUAGUUCGCGGAGGAAAACAAGACUUUACUUGAGGAUUCAAGUCGAUAGAGAUUAUUCGAAAGACGUCACAUCUCAACUUUCUUAAAGGAUCUAACAAACAUUGCGAGGAUAAGUGACUAUUAAGUCGCGGCCUGAAUCAAGUAAAAGGAGCUAGUCGGAGCAUCUAUUGGAAGCUUACGAGAUUUAACUUUUACAAAGAAAAGAAAUCGGUGUCUUCGCUUGGAACAUGAGGGCAAUGCCGCAUAUGUAAAUCCGUUUUAUGUAAAAGGAUUUGUUUUCUAGAAAAGUUGUUCUAAUAGAAUUGAAUUCAGAAUCAACACCAUUCUUUCUUUUGCAUUCAUUCUAUGCAUUUGCGUAGCAUUGCAUCAUUUGCAUUAGAUUUUCACAAAAAGACCCUAAUUAAUUGAAAUCAUUUCAGUUAAUCUGGAAACUAAUAAAAACUUACCAACCAAGCAUCGUUACGGUACAUGUGCUAAGACAAAAGAUAUGGACCAAAGAUUGGAAAGACUUAAACAACUUCAAAGAGAGAUACAUGACCAGUUACAAAUGCAAAUGCAAGAACAACUGAUGAGGAUACGGCAAGAUAUGAGAGACCAAGUGCAAGAGUCUCAAAGGAAUAUGAUGAACCAGUUGUCCCAAUUGCUGACUAAGGGGCUAGAAAAAAGGGAAAUUUCCAUGAUCAAUGUUGGGGUGGACAAUGAGGAGCCUCUCUAUCCUCUGGGUUUCACUUCGUCAAAUGCACAAGCAUGUUCGUAAGGUGUACCAAUUAUCAAAACUCAGCAAUAUCAAGCCAAUACCUUAGCAGCAGUGAAUUAUUUGAUAGGCUCAGGCUCCAAUCCGUGAGGCAAUCCAACUACUCCUAUAGUUCCUGAUUUGAACGAAAUGGAAAAAGUAAAGAUGAAACUGCCAAAACAACUCGAGGAUCGGUAUAGGCGGUUAGAGGAAAAAUUCAAGGCGAUGAAAUAUACUGAUGAUUAUCGUGGAAUUGACGCCAGGGAUUUGAGCUUGGUUCUAGACUUAAUACUUCCUUACAAGUUUAAAAUGUCUAAAUUUGAAAAAUAUAAUGGGACUAUCUGUCCCGAAGCUCACAUCACCAUGUUUUGCAGACGAAUGAUUGGGUAUGUCAAUAAUGACCAAUUAUUGAUUCACUAUUUCCAAUAAAGUCUGGUUGGGGCAGCAUCCAAAUGGUACAACCAAUUGAGCCAUACCCAGAUCAAUUCAUGGAAAGAUCUAGCACAAGCUUUCAUGAAACAGUAUAGUCAUGUGACGGACAUGGCACCAGAUAGAAUUACCCUACAGAAUGUGGAAAAGAAGCAGAGUAAGAGCUUCAGGCAAUAUGCCCAAAGAUGGAGAGAGGUAGCAACACAAGUCCAAUUGCCUCUAUUGGAAAAUGAGACCACAAUGCUUUUCAUCAAUACUCUAAAAGCCCCGUUCAUUGACCCUAUGUUGGGAAGCACUACUCUGAGCUUUUUAGAUAUAGUAAUGUCCGGUAAGAUGACUGAAAAUGCGGUAAGAAGUGAGAGGAUGAUGUGGCAGAAAGCAUUAAAAAGUCAACUCCUAGAGACAAAGAGAAUGAAGUGAAUAUCGUGAGCAUGCCUUCCAAAUUGGUCAGCAUAGACCAGUCGAGGGCUGUAACCACUAGCUAUCGAGGCUCUUCAAGGAAGGAAUUUAACUCGAGGCCAAAUACAGAAAAGCUCCGGUUUACACCUAUCCCGAUGUCAUAAAAGGAGCUGUAUCAGAACCUUUUUGAUGUGCAUGUGGUGUCUCCGUUCUACUCGGAACCCAUGCAACCUCUAUUCCCAAAAUGGUAUAAUGAGAAUGCUCAAUAUGAGUACCAUGCGGGAAUAGCGGGGCACUCAAUCGAAAACUGCACUACGUUUAAAAAGUUGGUUGAAAGGUUCAUUGAAAUGGGAAUUGUGAAGUUUGACAAUUCCUCAGAACCUAAUCGCUCUGAUAAUGAAGUAAAUGUGACAUUUGAAGGUGGGGGCAAAAGGGUUGUGAUGCCUUGAACAAGUCAAAAGUGGAAGGAAUAUCGGGGAUUCUGAAUGACAUAUCUGAAGAGAAAAUCAGGGAAUAAAAGUUUCUAAACCUUUAUGUACUUUGGGGGUUUUGAAUAAUGGGACUGUGGAAGAGAUCCCUGUCUUUUUAGAGCUAAUCUAGAGUAAUAUUCAAAACGCACUUGUUGCUUUAAGCCUAGGGGCAAUAAGAAUCCUUUUGUGACAUAGGCUUGUGUCCAGAAUUUUUAUUUCAAUAAAAUGCAUCUUUUUAAGCAAAUACUCUUUCAUUCUUUCCAUUUCAUAGUAUACAUUCUUUUGUUCUUUGGACUGUCUUUUAAAUAUUAUUUUAUUCUUUAUGAUUAUAUCAUACAAAUAAUCAGCCUUAGAAUUAUUUAUUCUUUGGAAAUAUGUCUUUGUACUUACAAUAGGUUCCUAGAUAUCAAUGACAUGAGCAACGCUGUAACUGACUCUCUUUUAGGGUGAGAUAUGUGUUUAAGCGGAUUUCAAGACUUUGAAGAUGAUAGAGAUUGUAGCCUAUGGCCUAAUUUUUUCAAGGAUGACAGAACAAGAUAAAACACAGAUCCUACUCUACAAAGGGUCAGUGGACAUUGUGAGCAGGAGGCAAAGAUCGGAGCCUGAGUCACCGCAAAGACAAAGCGAAUUGUCAUUUAAUUAUUCCAAGUAUUAAAAGAUGUUUUUGCAUGACCAUAUCAAGAUAUACCUGGAGAUGCAAAAAAAUGUCUAUACGGAUGUUAGAAGGACAUAUGUUAAUGGUUUCACAGUAGCCACACUAAUCAUGAGGUUUGGGUACUAUUGAGACAAGAUUCAUGUACCUUAUUCAUUUCUUCACAGACUUCUUCUAUGUGGGGCACGGAUGUUAUCAGGACCAUUCUAGUCUAAUAUACAUUGAUUUAUCUUGGUAGUCGUCGAUGACUUUAUGAAAAGGGUGAGGGUCGUUUCAUAUGCCAAUAUUACGAUGUCGGUAGUCGUCAAAUUUUAAAAAAGGUGCCGACAAGUAAUGUGAGAAAAGAUCGUGUCUAAUACAGCUGCACAAUGUCAAAAGUUUGCAGUUUGUUCAAAGAUCAGAUGCCAUAUCCUAAUACAGCAAAGGCAGCCAAAAAGAAAGAAACAAAAAGUGAAAGAAAAAAUAAAAACAAAAACAACAAAAAGAGAUUGUGGAAUGUGAUCGAGACUUGUAAAGAUUGUCAUGAAGAAGUUACCAUUUACCCUCUAUAUUUUUCAAACGUCGGCUAAGACCUUAAUCAGGGCAAUGCCUUUCUUAUUAGUUUGUGGAAUGGAAGCGUUUUAUCCAUUAUUUCUUUUCUCUGAAUCAGAACUAAAGUUGGAUGAGGUUGAAUGGAUCCAAUCCCGAUAUAAUUAGUCAAGUUUGAAGGAUAUUCGUCACAGUUAGAUGAUGUAUGCUUACGACAAAAGGGGGUUCAUCCUAGAGAAUUGGGGACUUGGCAUUGAAGAAGAUCCUUUCUAUACAAAAUAACUUUAGAGGAAAGUGGAUGCCAAAUUAGGAAGGACCUUAUGUAGUAAAGAAGGCCUGUUCUAGAGGAGCAUUGAUAUUGUCUGAGAUGGAUGGCAAGGACCUGCCUAAUUUGGUGAACUCGGAUUUAGUUACAGUUAACAGUUUAAAAAAAACACCAAAGAAAAGAAAAAGAAACAGGAGAGGCCAAGGCGAAAACCCACAAAGGGCUCCUUGAGACCAAAGGGGAUUUGAGUUGAAAACCGUAAAAGGGCAGCUCAAAUUUGGAUCAAAGUGGGGCAUACAAUAGUCUUGCUAUGUCUGAAUUAACAAUGAAGAAGUAUGCUACGUCUUAGGGCAUCGACGAAAUACUCCGAAUUCCCUAAACACAAAUUGAGCUCAAAAUGGUCCUCAAGAAGUCAGUACAAAGAAGCUCAGGCUGCAAUAUCUAGGACAUCUAGUUUUCCAUUUUGCCAAUUUUAAAUUUGCUAUCUUUGAUACAUCUUAAUAAAUUUCCUUCUAUUUACGUUUGUUAUCUUUUGAGCUAUGCUCCCAGUUAUUUUCUCUCUUAUCUAUUGUUAUGAUCUUUUUCAAGCAUUUUGCAUCGAAAUAAUGAUUAAUGGACUAAUAAUACCUUCACAAAAGAUGUUCUGCGUAUUACUCUGGAAGUUUCUAAAUGGUGCAGGAACAUGAAACUGAACUUUUUUUUAGAACUUGCCCAACUUAAAGGUUGGAAAUAUUUGAGUCCAAAUUGAGAUUAUCUCUUCGGAUUUUCAGUCAAAGAUAUUGGUUGAAUAGGAAGAAUAUGGCAUCAAUAACAGAAAUAAGCGAUGUCAACCUAGACAUAAGGAUAUUCCUCAUUCAUGCAAAUAUCAAGUGUACACAUCUGGUCAUGACACCCAAGGGGUGGUGUAAUGGACCGAAUUGAUGAAAGAUUCAGGUCCUAUACUCCUGAGUUGUAGAAUAGGGUUUGAAGAUGAUACAAACCUUAGGUCCCAAAAGUAUAGUGAAAUGGACCCUAAAGUUGCAAUAGGGCAAACCAACUGAGCAGAAUGGGGUUUUCUACAGGUCUUCUAUUGGAAAAUACUGGCUGAGCAAGAAAGCAGCAUAAUACGACAGUGAUAAAACUCUGAUGAAUAACGAGUGAUGAUAUUUUAAGCUUUUAAAAAAGGAAUCAUUCUCAUGACAUUUUUACAUUCAUAUCAUUCAUAGCGUAUUUGAUUAAGGGCAUCUGAUUCAUUUUGAUCAUAGCAUCUUAAUCAUUUGGCAUAAACAUAGGCAUAAGAAACCAAGUCUACAGGGCAUGUUCCCUAAAGGAUAGUGUACUGACAUCGGUGAAUUCACAAGUCUUAUUUUCUUGAGGUAGCAAAGAAGCAGACUGAAAAUUACAAAUCUUAUCUCCAUGUAUCGGCUAUGGAGUAGAUCAAAAAUGGCGGGUCUUAUCUCCAUAUAUCGGCUAUGGAGCAGAUUUUAGUUACCAGCCUUAUCUCUGUGAGGUAGCAAGAGAGCAGGUUAAAAAUCCAGGUCUUAUCUUCCUGAGGUAGUAAGGAAGCAGGCUAAAAAUUAUAGAUCUUAUUUCCAUGUAUCGGCUAUAGAGCAGAUUUUAGCCACCGGCCUUAUCUCUCUGAGGUAGCAAGAGAGCAGGUUGAAGAUACGAGCCUUAACCCCCUAAGCAGUAGGGUAACGGGCUGAAAUUUACAGAUCUUAUCUCUAUGUAUCGGCUAUGGAGUAGAUUUUAGCCACCGACCUUAUCUCUCUGAGGUAGCAAGAGAGUAGGUUGAAGAUAUGAGCCUUAACCCCCUAAGCAGUAAGGUAACAGGUUAUAAAAUACAGAUCUCCCUUAAACAGUGCAGAGCAGAUCAAAGACAGUGAGCCUUAACCCCCUAAGCAGUAGGGUAACAGGCUGAAAAUGUAACAGCCCGAUUUUGGGCCUAGUCGGAAUAGUGGUUUCGGGACCACUAUUCCGAGGCCAGAGAAAAUUAUUUUAGUAUUAUUUUAUGUGUUAUAAUAUGAUUUUAUAAGUGCAUGUUAAUUUUGGUAUAUUAAUUUUAGCGAUUUCUAGUCCAAUUUCGAAAAAGGACUAAAUCGCGUAAAAAGUAAAAGUUGUGUUUUAAUACCUAAAGGUGUUAAAUUGCCUUGUAUCUUAAAUUGGGGGUUUUUUAAGUGAAAUUAGGCCAUUGAAAGUGUGAUGGCCGGCCAUGGGAGACAAAAUAGUUGAAAAGUCAAAAUUAGACAAAAUAGUUUUAUUAUUAACAAAUAAAAAAAAAGAAGAAAAAGCUAUCAUUUUUCUCUUCCCCUUCACCGAAAUAUGCAGCAAAGAAAGGGUUUUGAAGCUGGAAAAUUUCAGCAACAUAUUUCCCUUGCUUGUAAGUGAUUUUAAUGUCUUUGCUUGAUGAUUUUUGUAUUUUUGGAACCCCUAAAGCAUAAGCUUUCAUAUGAGGGGACUUUUGUGCAAGAUGAUAAAGAGUCUAGGGUUUUUCCAUGAAUGUAUAUGUGUUGUUUGCUGUAUUUUUAUGGAAGAUUAUAAGUCCUAGUUGUUUAAUAAACAACUUUUGUGAAAGAAAUUGCAUGAAAAUACCUUAAAAAGGGCUAAAUUGCUAAGUUGUAAAAUGAGUUGUACAUGUGUAAAAUAGUUGAAAUUAUGAGUUGCUAUAGUUAUGAAAAUGGUUCAACUAGACUCAAGGAGUAAAGAAAUGUGAUAAAAAUUAAUUUACGAGCAUUGGGGCAAAAAUGCAAAUAUGCAAAAGUUUAGGGGUUAAAAUGAAAAUUUGUAAAAAUAUGAUUUUUAGACUCAUAUGAAUAUUGUGACUGAUUGGUAGGCUAAAUGUGAUGUUAUAGAUGAUGAAAAAUGAGAUUUGGACCUAGAACGGAAAGAAAUCGAUUUAUGGACGAGUAUGUCUUUUCACCUUUGUGGUAUCGAGGUAAGUUCAUGUGUAAAUAAUGUAGCAUAAUUGUUAUUUUUAAGUUAUUGAUGUUAAAUAUAUGAUAUGCUGAUUUUUAUCAUGAAAUAUAUGCUUUGUGGUUAUUUUCGAAUAAAAUGCAAGUUAUGUGUAUUAUCUGUUAAAUAUAAAGUGCUACCGAGUAUUGGUUUCGGUAUUUUACGGAAGAUGGCAAGGAUAGGUGUUCGAGGAAAAUCCCGUUUGAACCUUAGGAAUAGAUUAGGAUACAAGUGACAUGUCACUAGGAUGGUUGAGCAUCCGAACUCGUUGAGUUGAGUCCGAGUUCACUUAUGGAUGCGAAUGUUCGAACUCAUUGAGUUGAGUCCGAGUUCGUGAGAUGUAACUAGGCAUCCGAGCUCGUUGAGUUGAGCCCGAGUUCACUUAUGGAUGCGAACGCCCGAGCUCGUUGAGUUGAGUCCGAGUUCACUUAUGGGCGGGUUACAUGGUAGCUUGGCUACAUAUGUGGCACUUAUGUGCAAACUUUCCAUGUAUCUGAAUUAUAUUCUGAUGUGUUCAACGGGUAAAAUUCUACUCAAAUAGAGGAAUACUCGAGAUGAAAGGGACGUAUUGGUAAAUGUUGUGAAAUUGAUACUUUGAACAGGUAUGUACUUAACCCUCGGGUUGAAAACUCAACAUAACAACAGUAUGGUAAGAUGGUAAAUGAAAAUGUGGUAUGAAUGUCUCGGUGAUGAUUAUACAAACGAUGUUGUAUUAAUUUUGUGAACAAUGAUCAUGAAUGAGUAAUUUAGCCUUGACAGAUUUGAGUUACUGCAGUAGUGUAACUUUGAAAAUACACUAAAAAUAGUGGAAAAUGAGUUAGAGGCAGAAUAAAAUAUUGGAUUAAAGCUCAAUGAGUCUAUUUUCACAUGAAAGAAACAGGGAAAGAAAAAGAAUUCCAUAUUGUGUGAUAUUUGAAUUCUUGUGAAACAGGGUCUGAAUGAAUUCGAGAUCCCCUGUUCUAACUUUAGAAAUUCACCAAAAAUUGUACAAAAAUUAUUAAUAGUUAUACAUUACAUGCAUGGAUUCCUUAUUGAGUCUAUUUUUAUGGGAAAUAAACGGCACGGUUGUUGGAAUUUUUUACAGGGAGAAAUUUGGUUUGUAGUGCACAGGGGUCCGAGUGGUCAUACCCUGAAAUAGGGGAGACUUUAACUAAUAAAAUGUACUAUUUGGCUUAACCAAAAAUUCUUGAAAUUUUAUGGAAGAAAGGAAAAUAAGUCUAGUUUUAUGGAAAAUUAAUGGAACUUAAUUCGGAGUUUCGUAGCUCCAGAUAUAAAUCAUUUAGUGACUGUUGCUCAGGAAGACAGCUUGUAGUGAACUUGAGAAUAUGUUGUAAACAUUGAUAAAACAAGUUAAUGAGUUGCUUAUUGUUUUCAUAUGAACUUACUAAGCGAAAGCUUACCCCCUUUCUUUCCCAUGUUUUUUAGAGUUUCCAGGUUAGCUCGGGUUGGAGGCCGUCAGAGAUAUUAUCACCCUAUCGAGUUAACGUUAUCGGAGUAAGUAAACUCAAGUGAUUCGAGUCUAUGGCAUGUAUAGGGUUUUAAUGUGAGUAUGAAAUAUUAUGAUUUAGCCAAAGGCAUUGGCUUGUUAUUAAGGUAGUAUUAGUUAUGUAAAUUGGCCUAUGUCGGCUAAUAUCGUUAUGGGCCCAUAUGAUUAUUCUUAUGCAUUUAUGUUAUUAUUUCUUGUGAUGUGGCUUACAACAUGUAUGCCUAGAGAUUGAAUUGAGAUUCAUUGAUGAGCUAGUAACUAAUGCAGGAUUAAGUGAUUGAUAAAUAGUUAAUAAUGCUUCAUGAAUGGUUUGUGAUGUAAUCAUAGUUAUGUCUAGUAUGUGGUAAUGAUAUGGGCAAAUUCUAUAAUAUUUAUUGCAUAAGAAAAUAACUUGAGCAUAACAUGUUUGUAGAUGUUUAAGAGCUCAUUUAUGUCACGUUGUAUGUUAUUGGAUAAGUAUGUGUCUAUGCAUAUGGUGUGAGAGUGAUAAAAGGCUUAAUAAUUAGCCUAUUUCUGGCCACACGGCUUGAGCACAUGGGCGUGUGAAGCCUUAACGCAAGAGAUUUUUUUAAGUUUUUCAUGAGUUCUCGAUUGGGUCCCGAACCACUCCAGAUGUAUGUUUUGGGCCUCGUAAGCCCGUAUAUGGGACAGAUUUUAUGUGAAAAGAAAAGUUUUUAACUAUUUGAGAUUUCAUGGCCCUGUUUAGUAUGAAAGUGUUAGUAAAAGUCAGGUAGCACCUUGAACCCCGUCCCGGCGUCGGAUGUGGGCGAGGGGUGUUACAGAAAAAUACAGAUCUCCCCUAAACAGUAGUGGAGCAGAUCGAAGACAGCAAGCCUUAACCCCCUAAGAAGUAGGGUAAUAGGCUAAAAAUUACGAAUCUUAUCUCCCUAAGUAGUAGUGGAGCAGAUCGAAGACGAGUUCCUAUACCCCUAAAGAUGCAGUGGGUUAAAGCAAAGCUACUUGAAGAAGAGUGGCCAAAAGAAAUCAAGACUCGACAGGUCCAGGAAAAAUUGGCCCUUUUAAAGUCUUUACUUCGUUCUCGUUACACUAUAACGAGCAAAGAGGGGCAGCUGUAAUGGGUCAAAAUUGCCCGGCCCAAAUACAAACCCAAAACCCAAAAUCAAACUAAUCCAAUUACAUGAGACAGGCCCAAUACCCAUAGCCCAAAAUCUAAAUCUAAUCGGCUAACCUAGGGAAACUUAGGUCACCCACACCACAACCCCCAUGUCAGCACUCCAUGCACGAUCCCCGUGUGCCCCGCUC
rnacentral:lncRNA from 1 species